rnacentral:ncRNA from 2 species
UCAGAAUGCUAGGGGUUCUGGCCGACGGGCCGGGCGAGAUACACCCUCUGAACCUGAUCUGGGUAAUGCCAGCGAAGGGAAGCGAAAAGUGUGCAUG